AAGGGUCAAAAGGUAAAGUGAGCAAUUGCGCAGGGGCUCAAACUGGAAAUAUUCUAGGCUCCCAAAAUGCAGCACACCAGCGCGGACUAAAAUGUAAAAACGCGCAAAUUAAUGGGCCAAUUUAAAAGAAACGAAGCGGAACAGAUAGGGCGCGAUUGAAUGCGCACGUGAAAGAGGAGGACCAAGCCUGCAAAUAACCUAUUUGCAGCGAGAAGGCACGGGUCCGAGUCCUGGAGAGGGUUGACGCGUGGACCCUUUCCCUUUGGAACGGCGCUGUUUCGCUGCAUGCUUAAAGCCUCAAGCAAAUGAAUGGCAUUUUGCCAUUUCUCCAAGCUGCAAACCGAAUACCCAAUUGUUAGGGUUUCGGCGCAGCAACCUUCAUUACCCAGGGCUAUUCAAUCGUCAGUUCACCAUCAAAAUUGGUGAGUGACGCAGAAGCCUCUUUGUUUCCAUCAGAAUCGACGCUUAAAAACCCUUUCCCUUCACAUCUCUAACCCCGACUUCGACGGAGAAGACGAAGAAUUCAUUAAUGCAUCCGCGAAGGUAAGUUUCUCGCUUCUCUUUCUUCCCUUUUUUAAAAGUUCUAAAGAAGGCAAGAUAUACGCGAAAAAGAAAAGAAUAAAAAUAUUGAAGACGAAGAAGAUUCAAAAAUCACCUUCUUUGCUUUGUAUUGUUUUUGUAUUCUCUUUCUCCUAUCCGUUUUUUUUGUAACCCUUACAGAUAUUAAGAACUAUGGCUUUAUAGCCGAAAAGAAAAAAGAAAAAGGAAAAUAAAUUCCAAAUACAAUUUUCAUUCCCUUCUAUUUGCUGUUCUGCCAUUUUUGUUUGUAUUUGCCGUUGUGUUCGUCCUUCUUGCAGGUACAGGGUGCGUUGGCAUCGUACGGAGACUGUGCUGGCGUACGAGGGCUGUUGACGUGGAGGCACGAACGUUGCACGGCGCCUGGAGGCUGCUGGGGUUGUUGCGGUGCAAGCCAAGGCUGCUAGGGUUUCUGCCUUGGCUCUUGUUUUAGACAUUGGGCCUAUUGGGCCUGUAUUUGGGUCCUGGGUUUUAAAAAUAGGUCUAGGUUAUGUAAUUGGGUUUGGGCUAUGUAAUUGGACUUUAAACAUUUAAUGGACUGUUAUAAUUUUAUUUAUUUUAUGUUUAUGGUUUUUUUGGUUUAUUUUGUGUUUGCAUGGGCCGGGCAAAUUAGCUUGCUUACAGACCUAAAAUACGGGCUUAAUUUUGAACCAACCUUGAUCAAAUUAGAAAAAAUAUUGGGCUUGGCCCAGC
rnacentral:lncRNA from 1 species